CUCUUCACUGCCAUCAGGAAAUGGACAGCCGACUUCCACUCCAGUGAACCAAAAGCUGCCUUUUCCCAGACAAGGAAGGGAAAGGAGAUUUUAGGAGAGAGCCAUUAAUGUGUCUUCCUUCAGUUUUCAGGUUACCGAAGCCUCUACUGAAACCAAGAGGAAGAGACCCUGUUCCCCAGCCUGAGAAGCAGCAGAGGAGGUUUAUUACGGAGUAUGAAAAUCAGGAAGCUUUUUGUUCACUUCAUACAUCUCCUCCAACAAAGCCAGGCAUCAGCACCCCGGCACAGACUCCGGAGUGAUUAUUGUUACACAUGAUCUAUGGAGCAGAUAAAUUACAGCUUGAUUUUUAUAAGAGGCGCCGGAGCCCCGGAAAGCGGUGGGGUAGAGCUGUGAAUCCUAGCAACAGGAGGAGAGAGAGAACUGUACGUUUCUUCACGUCCUCCAAGUGCUGGUGCCUUCUGGUACAUCAUUUACAGGGAGCAACAGAGACCUUGGAAAGGCCCUUCAUGCCGUUACAUCAAGAAAGGGACAGUUUUCCCAGCGGGGUGGGUGAAUUAUUACGUUUUGGGGGGCAAAGCAAACAAAGCAGCACACCAGAGCUCAUACUGGUGCUGCCGUUGCGCUUUCCUUCAUCAUAACGCGCUGCCUAUCGCUGAGGGGUUUUCUCAAUUUUCUAUGCUUUUAGU
rnacentral:lncRNA from 1 species